CCUACGGGUGGCUGCAGUGGGGAAUAUUGCACAAUGGGCGCAAGCCUGAUGCAGCCAUGCCGCGUGUGUGAAGAAGGCCUUCGGGUUGUAAAGCACUUUCAGCGGGGAGGAAGGCGUUAAGGUUAAUAACCUUGGCGAUUGACGUUACCCGCAGAAGAAGCACCGGCUAACUCCGUGCCAGCAGCCGCGGUAAUACGGAGGGUGCAAGCGUUAAUCGGAAUUACUGGGCGUAAAGCGCACGCAGGCGGUCUGUCAAGUCGGAUGUGAAAUCCCCGGGCUCAACCUGGGAACUGCAUUCGAAACUGGCAGGCUAGAGUCUUGUAGAGGGGGGUAGAAUUCCAGGUGUAGCGGUGAAAUGCGUAGAGAUCUGGAGGAAUACCGGUGGCGAAGGCGGCCCCCUGGACAAAGACUGACGCUCAGGUGCGAAAGCGUGGGGUGCAAACAGGAUUAGAUACCCCUGUAGUC
rnacentral:rRNA from 1 species